UACGGAGGGUGCAAGCGUUGUUCGGAAUCAUUGGGCGUAAAGAGCGUGUAGGUGGUUAAAUAAGUCAGAUGUGAAAUACCUUGGCUCAACCAAGGAAGUGCAUCUGAAACUGUUUAGCUUGAGUACGGGAGGGGAAUGGCGGAAUUCCCAGUGUAGAGGUGAAAUUCAUAGAUAUUGGGAGGAACACCGGUGGCGAAGGCGGCCUUCUAGCCCGAUACUGACACUGAGACGCGAAAGCGUGGGGAGCAAACAGG
rnacentral:rRNA from 1 species